rnacentral:rRNA from 1 species
GACGAACGCUGGCGGCGUGCCUAAUACAUGCAAGUAGAACGCACAGUUUAUACCGUAGCUUGCUACACCAUAAACUGUGAGUUGCGAACGGGUGAGUAACGCGUAGGUAACCUGCCUGGUAGCGGGGGAUAACUAUUGGAAACGAUAGCUAAUACCGCAUAAUAUUAAUUAUUGCAUGAUAAUUGAUUGAAAGAUGCAAUUGCAUCACUACCAGAUGGACCUGCGUUGUAUUAGCUAGUAGGUGAGGUAACGGCUCACCUAGGCGACGAUACAUAGCCGACCUGAGAGGGGGAUCGGCCACACUGGGACUGAGACACGGCCCAGACUCCUACGGGAGGCAGCAGCAGGGAAGUUUAGGAAAGGGACGAAAGUCUGACCGAGCAACGCCGCGGGAGUGAAGAAGGGUGUCGGAUCGUAAAGCUCUGUUGUAAGAGAAGAAAGGGUGUGAGAGUGGAAAGUUCACACUGUGACGGUAUCUUACCAGAAAGGGAGGGCUAACUACGUG